UACGUAGGGCGCAAGCGUUAUCCGGAAUUAUUGGGCGUAAAGGGCGCGUAGGCGGCCCGUCAAGUCCCGUGUGAAAGCCCCCGGCUCAACCGGGGAACUGCACGGGAAACUAGCAGGCUUGAGUUCGGGAGAGGGAAGCGGAAUUUCGGGUGUAGCGGUGAAAUGCGCAGAUAUCCGAAGGAACACCGGUGGCGAAGGCGGCUUCCUGGACCGACACUGACGCUGAGGCGCGAAAGCUAGGGGAGCAAACGGG
rnacentral:rRNA from 1 species